AGUGAACGCUGGCGGUAGGCCUAACACAUGCAAGUCGAACGGCAGCACAGUAAGAGCUUGCUCUUACGGGUGGCGAGUGGCGUACGGGUGAGGUAUAUAUCGUAAUCUACUUUUUCGUGGGGGAUAACGUAGGGAAACUUACUCUAAUACCGCAUACGACCUACGGGUGAAAGCAGGGGAUCUUCGGACCUUGCGCGAUUGAAUGAGCCGAUGUCGGAUUAGCUAGUUGGCGGGGUAAAUGCCCACCAAGGCGACGAUCCGUAGCUGGUGUGAGAGGAUGAUCAGCCACAUUGGAACGGAGACACGGACCAUACUACUACGGGAGGCAGCAGUGGGGAAUAUGAGACAAUGGGCGGAAACCUGAUCCAGCCAGACCGAGUGGGUGGAGAAGGCGCUCGGGUUGUAAAGACGUUUUGUUGGGAAAGAAAAGCAGCAGGUUAAUACCCAGCUGUUCUGACGGUACCCAAAGAAGAAGCACCGGCUAACUUCGUG
rnacentral:rRNA from 1 species